AUUCUAAUAUAUACUACUUAUAUUAAUAUAGGAUAUGGGGAGCUUUUCGUUUGUCUAUGUGAAACUACAAAACGGAGACUUGACAUUCCAAAUAUAUUUUCUCGUAUAUCAUUUAAUUUCAAUAUCCAAUGUCCAAAAUGUCGACAAACUUCGGUAUUUAGAUUAAUCCCAUAUUUCAUAUUUUGGAUAUCUCCUCCUAUUUAAUGGCAACAUUAAAAAAUCCCUUUUUCCGCUGUGUGAGCCUUGCAGCAUGUGUAUGUGUGUUUUGUGUAUGAAUGCCGAGAAGAUAAUUGUUAUAGCUGAAGCUACAGUAGAAAGAAAGAAUAUUUGUGAAGACUGCUUGGCGCCGAUAUCAGGGUAUUCUCUAGUCGGGCACUCCCGACUAAAGUCAUCAUACUUGUUUAUUAUUUUUUUAAAAUCGCCUUUAUAAACAAAUAUAGAGUAUUUACAUUUGUGAAGCGUUUCGGGAGUUUUUCAAGUUACAUUUAAAAGACUUACACCAACAUAGUAUGCCCUCACCAGCCCAUUUAUAUAUGUUAUAUUUACUUGUUUAUUAUAUACCCAUUAUAAUAUUCCGUUGCAAUGUUGAUCUCUUUGAAGCUUAAAUCAAGGGGUCGUAAAUAAUGUACUAAAAUUUUUAGAUUCAUAAUAAAUAUAUUCGAGAGCGUUUUCGAGCGUGUUGUGGUUUCCUUCGGGUGCCUUUGCCUUCUUUAUCAUUUAGAAUAAUUCUUUUUGUCCCUUGGUAUCAGCCGGAUAGUCCUUGACAUUGAUGCUACGCUUGCCCAGACGUGGUCCAAACCACAUACCAGACGAGGCGCUGGGUCCGGUGCGUUUGUCCAGCGCCUGCUGCAGUGCCAGCAAAUGUGCCCAUUUUCUCAGUUCAGAAUCGCUGCGUCCCACACGAGGAAAUGGCAACAAACUGGCGCGUUUUUGAUACUCUAUAGGCGACUGAGGCAUCACCAAUGCCGUAGAGGGUCUCAUAGGCGACCGCAUCGUUGGCAUCGUGCAGGCUGUUCACCAGACUCGGAUCGCUGCGUCCGACGCGUGGAAACGUAUAGAGACCCAUGUUGGCACCACGACGAAUCUUAUCAUGCUCCACUUCUGAGUGGAAGAGGCUUUAAUGAAAACAAAUUGAAAUGGCCUGAGUGCUGUCCCAGUAGUGCUAGCAGCUGCGUUGAGAUUUAUUGGCCAUGGAUUAACACCCUGCUAGCCAAGGCUUGAGUUGAGCUAUAUUAAUUGGUCACAAAAUGUCUGAAAUCAUCUCCAUUCUUGGACUCACCUGCAGCACUGAAUUUGGUCAGCAAAACAAGCAAUAAAAUUGUGUAGGUAAUGUUGAGUAGUCCCAGAAACGACUUCAUUUCUCAACUUUAAAUUUAAAUGAAAAAUGUAUUAUAUCUCUCAGAUGUUCGCUUGAUGUUUACUUCUUGACGUUCACAGAUAUAAUGCUUGAUGCUGCAUGAAACUCUCGUCCUUUUAUAUCCCAAGGCAGGCAAUGCGGCGUGUGGGAACAAUAGCUGUGACUUCUGUAAGCUUUAUGUGUGUGUGGGUGUGUCUCUAGCAACCAACCACCUGUGGACUGGGAAAUGUUGCUAAGCCGAACACUUGUUGCCAAUGGCUGAAGCAAAAGUUUGAAAGGGAUAUGCGGGGAUUUUCGAGCAAAUUGCAGUUGCGAAAUUAGUUGGUAUAGCGCGAAAGGUUUAAAAAAAAGUGCACGAAAAGAGCUUGAA